CGGAGCUAAANNNUUAAGUACACCGCCUGGGAAAUACGGCCGCAAGGCCAAAACUCAAAGGAAUUGACGGGGACCCGCACAAGCGGUGGAUGAUGAGGAUUAAUUCGAUGCANCGCGAAAAACCUUACCUNCCCUUGACAUNCCAGGAACUUUCCAGAGAUGGAUUGGUGCCCGAAAGGGAGCCUGGACACAGGNGAAGCAUGGCUGUNGUCAGCUCGUGUCGUGAGAUGUUGGGUUAAGUCCCGCAACGAGCGCAACCCUUGUCAUUAGUUNCCAUCAUUUAGUUGGGCACUNUAAUGAGACNNCCGGUGACAAACNGGAGGAAGGUGGGGAUGACGUCAAGUCCUCAUGGCCCUUAUGGGUAGGGCUUCACACGUCAUACAAUGGUCGGUACAGAGGGUUGCCAACCCGCGAGGGGGANCCAAUCCCAGAAAGCCGAUCGUAGUCCGGAUAGUAGUCUGCAACUCGACUACGUGAAGUCGGAAUCGCUAGUAAUCCCGGAUCAGCAUGCCGCGGNGAAUACGUUCCCGGGUCUUGUACACACCGCCCGUCACACCAUGGGAGUGGGUUUCACCAGAAGUAGGUAGUCUAACCGCAAGGAGGGCGCUUACCACGGUGGGAUUCAUGACUGGGGUGAAGUCGUAAC
rnacentral:rRNA from 1 species